rnacentral:rRNA from 1 species
GCUGGCGGCGUGCUUAACACAUGCAAGUCGCACGAGAACGCUUCAGCUUGCUGAAGCUAGUAAAGUGGCGCACGGGUGAGUAACGCGUGGGUAAUCUAUCUCUGAAUCGGGGAUAACAUUGCGAAAGCGAUGCUAAUACCGGAUAACAUCCAUUUAACCUCGGUUAUGUGGAUCAAAGGUGGCCUCUACAUGUAAGCUACCGUUCGGAGACGAGCCCGCGUACCAUUAGCUUGUUGGUCGGGUAAUGGCCUACCAAGGCAACGAUGGUUAGCUGGUCUGAGAGGAUGAUCAGCCACACUGGAACUGACACACGGUCCAGACUCCUACGGGAGGCAGCAGUGAGGAAUUUUGCGCAAUGGGGGAAACCCUGACGCAGCAACGCCGCGUGAGUGAUGAAGGCUUUCGGGNNGUAAAGCUCUGUCAAGUGGGAAGAACCCGUGCCGUGCAAAUAGCANGGGUGCGCUGACGGUACCACUGAAGGAAGCACCGGCUAACUCCGUGCCAGCAGCCGCGGU